rnacentral:rRNA from 1 species
AUGAAUCUCCUUGCCUGGAACUGUCGAGGAUUGGGGUUGGACUCGAUAGUGGGUGAACUGUGAGACCUUAUUAGGUCUCACAACCCAGCGGUGGUGUUCCUUUCAGAAACAAAAAAAUCAGCUAAAGCAAUGGAACGGUUGAAAUGGAGUCUAGGAUUCACUAGUGGAGUUGCGAUGAGUUGCAAUGGGAGAAGUGGGGGAUUGGCUUUGUGGUGGAGGGAGAAUGUUAAAGUUACAAUGAGGCCGUGGUGCCAAUACUUUAUAGAUGCUGAGAUCGAGUGGGAGAGUAAACUCUAUAGGAUCACUGGAUUCUAUGGAGAACCCAAAACCGAGUUGAGGGAAAAAAUCAUGGGAUGCUAUCCGCUUUCUUCGGGCUCAAGAUAA